CGAGGUUGAUCCAGUAGCAAUACUGGUGACUACCUAGUGGCGAACGGGUGAGUAACACGUGAGCAACCUGCCCCGAAGACUGGGAUAACAGCGGGAAACCGCUGCUAAUACCGGAUAUCCCCAUCGGACCACAUGGCCUGAUGAGGAAAUGGAUUCCGCUUCGGGAGGGGCUCGCGGCCUAUCAUGCUUGUUGGCGGGGUAACGGCCCACCAAGGCGACGACGGGUAGCUGGUCUGAGAGGACGAUCAGCCACACUGGGACUGAGACACGGCCCAGACUCCUACGGGAGGCAGCAGUGGGGAAUAUUGCGCAAUGGGCGAAAGCCUGACGCAGCAACGCCGCGUGAGGGAUGAAUGCCUUCGGGUUGUAAACCUCUUUCAAGCAGGGACGAUAAUGACGGUACCUGCAGAAGAAGCUCCGGCCAACUACGUGCCAGCAGCCGCGGUAAUACGUAGGGAGCGAGCGUUGUCCGGAUUCAUUGGGCGUAAAGAGCUCGUAGGCGGCUUGGUAAGUCGGAUGUGAAACCUCCAGGCUCAACCUGGAGUCGCCAUCCGAUACUGUCAUGGCUAGAGUCCGGUAGGGGCCCACGGAACUCCUGGUGUAGCGGUGAAAUGCGCAGAUAUCAGGAAGAACACCGGUGGCGAAGGCGGUGGGCUGGGCCGGUACUGACGCUGAGGAGCGAAAGCGUG
rnacentral:rRNA from 1 species